AACGCACAUUGCGCCCCCUGGUAUUCCGAGGGGCAUGCCUGUUCGAGCGUCAUUAUCACCCCUCAAGCCUGGCUUGGUGUUGGGGCUCGCCCGUCACGGGCGGCCCUUAAAAUCAGUGGCGGUGCCGUUGGGCUCUAAGCGUAGUAAUACUCCUCGCUACAGAGUCCUGGCGGCCCCUGCCAGAACCCCCCAUUUUUUCAUGAUUGACCUCGGAUCAGGUAGGGUUACCCGCUGAACUUAA
rnacentral:misc_RNA from 1 species